rnacentral:tRNA from 1 species
GGCUUCGUAGCUCAGUAGACUAGAGUGUUGGCUGUACUAAAGCCUUCCCCUUGCUGGCGUGGGUUCGAAUCCCACCGGGACCG